GACGAACGCUGGCGGCGUGCCUAAUACAUGCAAGUAGAACGCAGUUGCGAACGGGUGAGUAACGCGUAGGUAACUGCCUGGUAGCGGGGGAUAACUAUUGGAAACGAUAGAUAAUACCGCAUACUACCAGAUGGACCUGCGUUGUGUUAGCUAGUUGGUGAGGUAACGGCUCACCAAGGAAACGACACAUAGCCGACCGGGGAGUGUGAUCGGCCACACUGGGAAAGAGACACGGCCCAGACUCCGACGGGAGGCAGCAGUAGGGAAUCUGCGGCAAUGGGGGGAACCCUGACCGAGCAACGCCGCGGGAGGGAAGAAGGUUUUCGGAUCGUAAAGCUCUGUUGUUAAGGAAGCGGUACUUAACCAGAAAGGGUCGGCUAACUACGUGCCAGCAGCCGCGGUAAUAC
rnacentral:rRNA from 1 species